GAGAUUAUCAAACUGAAAGAACAUUACUCUGAGUACUUUCUUAAAUUGCUUUCAAGAAUCAGCACCUGAACACUGACGAGCUGUACUAGAAAAUUUUUAAAUACCUCAAUUUUUAAGCAUUUAAGUUUGCUUGUUUAGCUGAUUAUCAAUAGCACCGGAUAAGUGGUUUAAUAGCAACUUACUUUUCUUGCUGAAAAUGUAAGCACUAUGAACAGUCUAGUAGAGCAUUCAAAAAAUAGUGUGAAUUGUAUAGCAAGAGAUAUUAAAUUCAUACCAACACUGGGAGUAGCCGAAGUGACAGAAGCAGCAACUAACUGAAAUAAAUCCAUAGGGGAGAAAAGUAGAACAAAAUUAGAUAGAAAUCUUGCCCAUCUCAGUGGAACUAGGAACCUGACUCUGCUUAUAAAAAUGGAUAUCUGGAAAAAUGAGAGCGGUUUUACUGCAAAUGAUUCUCACCUGAAGCCUGAACAUAUACUCAGAUUCUGAUGCACAGAAGAUUUACGGUGGAACACUAAUCCCUGCAGCCCACAUGAAUCAGCCCUUUACAUAUUCCAAUAGCGUGAUUCUGAGAAACGGUUGUUACCAGAAGAGAACACAUUAUUCUUGGCCAACAACGCAGCACAUAACGAUAUUCUGAUGAGUGAAUAUUCAAAAGGCACUUGACAGCCAAACACCAGCGUCCCAGAUGCUCUUUUCUGUUGCAAGCACAUCCUGUGACUUCAGCUUCAGUAUAGUUUAUUCAAUCUCUUAGAGCCCUGGCAUCAAAGUGAUAAGAGAAGGUGAAAAUGAUCAUCAAAGCAAAGAAGUAGACUGUGUUAAUUUGAAGAACUGAAUACAUUAUCAACAGAGAGUAAUCAUAUGUAUUCAUUUUACUGCUUUUCUAUCUCCAUUUUCCUACUGAGAAAAAGUAUCUUGCCAAUUGGUAAAAACCUGAGCUCUUUCAAAUAUUUUUAGCAGAUAAAUUUUUCAACUGUCAUCCUCUAUUAGUCUGCAAUCGAGUAGGGAAAGUUAAGUCAAAUGUUAAUAAUUGAUCUAAAGUUUCUACUGUGACUGUACAUAGGUGCCACAUUAUACAUCCUGGAAACACAGUAAUAGUAAUUAUAUACCCCUAACCCUAAGAAAGCUAAAUGC